GACGAACGCUGGCGGCGCGCCUAACACAUGCAAGUCGAACGGAGUCAAGAGGAGCUUGCUUUUCUUGACUUAGUGGCGAACGGGUGAGUAACGCGUGAGUAACCUGCCCUGGAGUGGGGGACAACAGUUGGAAACGACUGCUAAUACCGCAUAAGCCCACGGAUCCGCAUGGACCUGCGGGAAAAGGAUUUAUUCGCUUCAGGAUGGACUCGCGUCCAAUUAGCUAGUUGGUGAGGUAACGGCCCACCAAGGCGACGAUUGGUAGCCGGACUGAGAGGUUGAACGGACACAUUGGGACUGAGACACGGCCCAGACUCCUACGGGAGGCAGCAGUGGGGGAUAUUGCACAAUGGGGGAAACCCUGAUGCAGCGACGCCGCGUGGAGGAAGAAGGUUUUCGGAUUGUAAACUCCUGUCGUUAGGGACGAUAAUGACGGUACCUAACAAGAAAGCACCGGCUAACUACGUG
rnacentral:rRNA from 1 species